AACGAACGCUGGCGGCAUGCCUAACACAUGCAAGUCGAACGAGAACGCCGGGUUUUGUGGCGCACGGCUGCGUAAGGAGGGGGAAGUUGCACGGGGGUUAGGAAUACCUCCCUGAGGGGGGUCUUAAGACAGGAUAGGGUCUUAGGACCUAAGAUUUAUUGCCGUUGGAUGGGCGCGCGUUGGAUUAGCUGGUUGGUAGGGUAAUAGCCUACCAAGGGGAGGAUGCAUAGCUGGUCUGUGAGGAUGAUCAGCCACACUGGAGCUGAGACACGGCCCAGACUCCGACGGAAGGGAGGAGUGGGGAAUAUUGGACAAUGGGCGAAGGCCUGAUCCAGCCAUGCCGCGUGAGAGAUGAAGGCCGUAGUGUUGUAAUGCUCUUUUACCCGGGAUGAUAAUGACGGUACCGGGAGAAUAAGCUCCGGCUAACUCCGUG
rnacentral:rRNA from 1 species